GCCUGGCUGGCUCAGUCAGAAGAGUAUGAGACUCUUGAUCUUGGGUGGUGAGUUCGAGUCCCAUGCUGGGUG
rnacentral:tRNA from 1 species